rnacentral:rRNA from 1 species
GAUGAACGCUGGCGGCGUGCCUAAUACAUGCAAGUCGAGCGAACGGACGAGAAGCUUGCUUCUCUGAUGUUAGCGGCGGACGGGUGAGUAACACGUGGAUAACCUACCUAUAAGACUGGGAUAACUUCGGGAAACCGGAGCUAAUACCGGAUAAUAUUUUGAACCGCAUGGUUCAAAAGUGAAAGACGGUCUUGCUGUCACUUAUAGAUGGAUCCGCGCUGCAUUAGCUAGUUGGUAAGGUAACGGCUUACCAAGGCAACGAUGCAUAGCCGACCUGAGAGGGUGAUCGGCCCCACUGGAACUGAGACACGGUCCAGGCUCCUACGGGAGGCCGCAGUAGGGAAUCUUCCGCAAUGGGCGAAAGCCUGACGGAGCAACGCCGCGUGAGUGAUGAAGGUCUUCGGAUCGUAAAACUCUGUUAUUAGGGAAGAACAUAUGUGUAAGUAACUGUGCACAUCUUGACGGUACCUAAUCAGAAAGCCACGGCUAACUACGUG